ACUACAUUAUUCACUCUGCAAAAACCUUCUGUUCUUAGAGAGGAGCCAGGCUCUUCUCCAAUCGAGAAGCCUACAGAAGUCUGUUACUCAGCAGGAAAUCAGGACAGGAGCACCAGUCUACCUAAAAUGUGACUUAGCUCAAAUAAUGUGAGAACAACAGAUUUGGGAAAGAAUGAAAUACACGACACUCAUCCUCAUCACAUCCUGUACAGUCCUGGAGAGCACCUAAGAGGUUUUCCCAAAUAAGAUGGAUGAACAUAAGGAGAAACAAGCAGACGGAGAGACAUAAUAGAACAGCUAUUCAAAGGGCUCUGAGGUGAAACUACAGUACUGUAAGCAUUGAAUCUGCAAAGUAUAGUGACCCCAGAGCACAGAGAACAGAAGCUCCUACUUCACACUAGGACCCUAAUCAGCAUUUUAAUUGUUUAGAGUCAGGAGUGCUUCAGAGCCGGCC